UCAGAUGAUCAGACCUUGUCACAUAGG
rnacentral:piRNA from 1 species